GCGCCUGUAGCUCAGCCUGGAUAGAGCAGCAGCCUUCUAAGCUGAAGGUCGAGGGUUCGAAUCCCUUCAGGCGCG
rnacentral:tRNA from 1 species